GUGCUUGCUUCGGCAGCACGUAUACUAAAAUUGGAACGCUACAGAGAUUAGCAUGGCCCCUGUGCAAGGAUGACACACAAAUUUGUGAAGCGUUCCAUAUGUUU
rnacentral:snRNA from 1 species